UACGUAGGGUGCAAGCGUUAAUCGGAAUUACUGGGCGUAAAGCGUGCGCAGGCGGUGAUGUAAGACAGGUGUGAAAUCCCCGGGCUUAACCUGGGAACUGCAUUUGUGACUGCAUCGCUGGAGUGCGGCAGAGGGGGAUGGAAUUCCGCGUGUAGCAGUGAAAUGCGUAGAUAUGCGGGAGACACCGAUGGCGAAGGCAAUCCCCUGGGCCUGCACUGACGCUCAUGCACGAAAGCGUGGGGAGCAAACAGG
rnacentral:rRNA from 1 species